CGAUGGCUUCACUGAAAAAGAACUUGAAGAAAUCUAAGCUACAUUUUUGGCCAAAACAGGCCAUCAGUUCCCUGGAAAGUGCUGGGCAUGCAAAUGGGCUAUGAACAAAAUAAAGAGACAUAUCUCUGUUUCUACAAAAUGCCAUCACAAACUUGCUAGGUCAUGUCUGUGAUGAGAUCGGGUUCCUAAAAUUUCUCUGCAGGGGCAUUGUGUCCCAGUUCAAGGACGUUCUGACUGUAGAAAUUUCGACCACCGAUAAUCCUGCGACGAUCUGC